rnacentral:misc_RNA from 1 species
GAUGAAGAACGUAGCGAAAUGCGAUACGUAAUGUGAAUUGCAGAAUUCAGUGAAUCAUCGAAUCUUUGAACGCACAUUGCGCCCCUUGGUAUUCCAUGGGGCAUGCCUGUUCGAGCGUCAUCUACACCCUCAAGCUCUGCUUGGUGUUGGGCGUCUGUCCCGCCUCUGCGCGCGGACUCGCCCCAAAUUCAUUGGCAGCGGUCCUUGCCUCCUCUCGCGCAGCACAUUGCGCUUCUCGAGGUGCGCGGCCCGCGUCCACGAAGCAACAUUACCGUCUUUGACCUCGGAUCAGGUAGGGAUACCCGCUGAACUUAAGCAUAUCAAUAAGCGGAGGA